AACGAACGCUGGCGGCAGGCUUAACACAUGCAAGUCGAACGUGAAAGUCCUUCGGGAUGAGUAAAGUGGCGCACGGGUGAGUAACGCGUGGGAACGUGCCUUAUAGUUUGGAAUAACAGCGGGAAACUGCGGCUAAUACCAGAUACGCCCUUCGGGGGAAAGAUUUAUCGCUAUAAGAUCGGCCCGCGUAAGAUUAGGUAGUUGGUGGGGUAAUGGCCUACCAAGCCUACGAUCUUUAGCCGGUCUGAGAGGAUGAUCGGCCACACUGGAACUGAGACACGGUCCAGACUCCUACGGGAGGCAGCAGUGGGGAAUAUUGGGCAAUGGAGGAAACUCUGACCCAGCCAUGCCGCGUGAGUGAUGAAGGCCUUAGGGUUGUAAAGCUCUUUCGUUGGUGAAGAUAAUGACGGUAACCAAAGAAGAAGCCCCGGCUAACUUCGUGCCAGCAGCCGCGGUAA
rnacentral:rRNA from 1 species